rnacentral:misc_RNA from 1 species
CAGCCGCGUAAUUCCAGCUCCAAUAGCGUAUAUUAAAGUUGUUGCAGUUAAAAAGCUCGUAGUUGAAUUUCGGGAUCAAUAUGUUGGUCGUGCCUUUGGUACGUACUAGCUUAUUGAUUUCUCCCUUCUGACGAACCAUGAUGUCAUUAAUUUGGUGUCAUGGGGAAUCAGGACUGUUACUUUGAAAAAAUUAGAGUGUUUAAAGCAGGCUUACGCUUGAAUAUAUUAGCAUGGAAUAAUGAAAUAGGACGUUUUGAUUCUAUUUUGUUGGUUUCUAGGAUCGACGUAAUGAUUAAUAGGGAUAGUUGGGGGAAUUAGUAUUCAAUUGUCAGAGGUGAAAUUCUUGGAUUUAUUGAAGACUAACUACUGCGAAAGCAUUUGCCAAGGAUGUUUUCAUUAAUCAAGAACGAAAGUUAGGGGAUCGAAGACGAUCAGAUACCGUCGUAGUCUUAACCAUAAACUAUGCCGACUAGGGAUCGGAUGAUGUUAAUUUUUUAAUGACUCAUUCGGCGCCUUACG